rnacentral:rRNA from 1 species
AGUGAACGCUGGCGGUAGGCCUAACACAUGCAAGUCGAACGGCAGCACAGUAAGAGCUUGCUCUUACGGGUGGCGAGUGGCGGACGGGUGAGGAAUACAUCGGAAUCUACUUUUUCGUGGGGGAUAACGUAGGGAAACUUACGCUAAUACCGCAUACGACCUACGGGUGAAAGCAGGGGAUCUUCGGACCUUGCGCGAUUGAAUGAGCCGAUGUCGGAUUGGCUAGUUGGCGGGGUAAAGGCCCACCAAGGCGACGAUCCGUAGCUGGUCUGGGAGGAUGAUCAGCCACACUGGGACUGAGACACGGUCCAGACUCCUACGGGAGGCAGCAGUGGGGAAUAUUGGACAAUGGGCGCAAGCCUGAUCCAGCCAUACCGCGUGGGUGAAGAAGGCCUUCGGGUUGUAAAGCCCUUUUGUGGGGAAAGAAAAGCAGCAGGUUAAUACCCCGCUGUUCUGACGGUACCCAAAGAAUAAGCACCGGCUAACUUCGUG